rnacentral:rRNA from 1 species
CGGGGCUUAAAGUCUUGUAAUUGGAAUGAUGGGAAUUUAAACCUCUUCCAGAGUAUCAAUUAGAGGGCAAGUCUGGUGCCAGCAGCCGCGGUAAUUCCAGCUCCAAUAGCGUAUAUUAAAAUUGUUGCAGUUAAAAAGCUCGUAGUUGAAUUUCUGCUGCAUUGCUUGUGUCCCUCUGGGGUCUGUGCAUGUGGCUUUUUUCGGACGGAGUUUCUUUGUCUGAAUGUUUACUUUGAGAAAAUUAGAGUGCUCAAAGCAGGCUUUCGCCUUGAAUAGUUUAGCAUGGAAUAAUAAAGUAGGACUUUGGUUCUAUUUUGUUGGUUUUAGGUACCAAAGUAAUGGUUAAUAGGAACAGUUGGGGGCAUUCGUAUUUAACUGUCAGAGGUGAAAUUCUUAGAUUUGUUAAAGACGAACUACUGCGAAAGCAUUUGCCAAGGAUGUUUUCAUUAAUCAAGAAC